rnacentral:misc_RNA from 1 species
ACUCCUCAACCCUCCGGUUCCUUGUUGAACUGCGAGGUGUUUGGAUUCUGAAUGUUGCUGGCCUGAAGUCUCGGGAUUUCAAAGCGCGAAGCUCGUUCGUAAUACAUUAGCAUCUCGAUUUCGAGUAUUCGGAUUGACUCGGCGUAAUAGACUUUAUUCGCUGAGGACACUUGGUUUUCAAGUGGCCGAAUUUCGAGGUGGAAGCUUCCAACUCUACUGAAGUCAAAUCUAUA